AGCGCAUACGGUGGAUGCCUUGGCAGUCAGAGGCGAUGAAAGACGUGGUAGCCUGCGAAAAGCUUCGGGGAGUCGGCAAACAGACUUUGAUCCGGAGAUCUCUGAAUGGGGGAACCCACCUAGGAUAACCUAGGUAUCUUGUACUGAAUCCAUAGGUGCAAGAGGCGAACCAGGGGAACUGAAACAUCUAAGUACCCUGAGGAAAAGAAAUCAACCGAGAUUCCCUUAGUAGUGGCGAGCGAACGGGGAUUAGCCCUUAAGCUUCAUUGAUUUUAGCGGAACGCUCUGGAAAGUGCGGCCAUAGUGGGUGAUAGCCCCGUACGCGAAAGGAUCUUUGAAGUGAAAUCGAGUAGGACGGAGCACGAGAAACUUUGUCUGAACAUGGGGGGACCAUCCUCCAAGGCUAAAUACUACUGACUGACCGAUAGUGAACCAGUACCGUGAGGGAAAGGCGAAAAGAACCCCGGAGAGGGGAGUGAAAUAGAACCUGAAACCGUAUGCGUACAAGCAGUGGGAGCCUACUUGUUAGGUGACUGCGUACCUUUUGUAUAAUGGGUCAGCGACUUAUAUUCAGUGGCAAGCUUAACCGUAUAGGGUAGGCGUAGCGAAAGCGAGUCUUAAUAGGGCGUUUAGUCGCUGGGUAUAGACCCGAAACCGGGCGAUCUAUCCAUGAGCAGGUUGAAGGUUAGGUAACACUGACUGGAGGACCGAACCCACUCCCGUUGAAAAGGUAGGGGAUGACUUGUGGAUCGGAGUGAAAGGCUAAUCAAGCUCGGAGAUAGCUGGUUCUCCUCGAAAGCUAUUUAGGUAGCGCCUCAUGUAUCACUCUGGGGGGUAGAGCACUGUUUCGGCUAGGGGGUCAUCCCGACUUACCAAACCGAUGCAAACUCCGAAUACCCAGAAGUGCCGAGCAUGGGAGACACACGGCGGGUGCUAACGUCCGUCGUGAAAAGGGAAACAACCCAGACCGCCAGCUAAGGUCCCAAAGUUGUGGUUAAGUGGUAAACGAUGUGGGAAGGCUUAGACAGCUAGGAGGUUGGCUUAGAAGCAGCCAUCCUUUAAAGAAAGCGUAAUAGCUCACUAGUCGAGUCGGCCUGCGCGGAAGAUGUAACGGGGCUCAAACCACACACCGAAGCUGCGGGUGUCACGUAAGUGACGCGGUAGAGGAGCGUUCUGUAAGCCUGUGAAGGUGAGUUGAGAAGCUUGCUGGAGGUAUCAGAAGUGCGAAUGCUGACAUGAGUAACGACAAUGGGUGUGAAAAACACCCACGCCGAAAGACCAAGGGUUCCUGCGCAACGUUAAUCGACGCAGGGUUAGUCGGUUCCUAAGGCGAGGCUGAAAAGCGUAGUCGAUGGGAAACAGGUUAAUAUUCCUGUACUUCUGGUUACUGCGAUGGAGGGACGGAGAAGGCUAGGCCAGCUUGGCGUUGGUUGUCCAAGUUUAAGGUGGUAGGCUGAAAUCUUAGGUAAAUCCGGGGUUUCAAGGCCGAGAGCUGAUGACGAGUCGUCUUUUAGAUGACGAAGUGGUUGAUGCCAUGCUUCCAAGAAAAGCUUCUAAGCUUCAGGUAACCAGGAACCGUACCCCAAACCGACACAGGUGGUCGGGUAGAGAAUACCAAGGCGCUUGAGAGAACUCGGGUGAAGGAACUAGGCAAAAUGGCACCGUAACUUCGGGAGAAGGUGCGCCGGCUAGGGUGAAGGAUUUACUCCGUAAGCUCUGGCUGGUCGAAGAUACCAGGCCGCUGCGACUGUUUAUUAAAAACACAGCACUCUGCAAACACGAAAGUGGACGUAUAGGGUGUGACGCCUGCCCGGUGCCGGAAGGUUAAUUGAUGGGGUUAGCGCAAGCGAAGCUCUUGAUCGAAGCCCCGGUAAACGGCGGCCGUAACUAUAACGGUCCUAAGGUAGCGAAAUUCCUUGUCGGGUAAGUUCCGACCUGCACGAAUGGCGUAACGAUGGCGGCGCUGUCUCCACCCGAGACUCAGUGAAAUUGAAAUCGCUGUGAAGAUGCAGUGUAUCCGCGGCUAGACGGAUAGACCCCGUGAACCUUUACUGUAGCUUUGCACUGGACUUUGAGCCUGCUUGUGUAGGAUAGGUGGGAGGCUUUGAAGCGUGGACGCCAGUUCGCGUGGAGCCAUCCUUGAA
rnacentral:rRNA from 1 species